rnacentral:tRNA from 1 species
GCGUGUGGUCGGCGGAGGGGCUGUUGCCGUUUCUGCCGGCAGCCGCCCAAGAGCUGCUGUUCGACCGGGUACAGGCGCUC